rnacentral:rRNA from 1 species
CAAACUGAAGAUGGCGACCGGCGCACGGGUGAGUAACACGUAUCCAACCUGCCGAUAACUCCGGAAUAGCCUUUCGAAAGAAAGAUUAAUACCGGAUGGCAUACGAAUAUCGCAUGAUAUUUUUAUUAAAGAAUUUCGGUUAUCGAUGGGGAUGCGUUCCAUUAGUUUGUUGGCGGGGUAACGGCCCACCAAGACUACGAUGGAUAGGGGUCCUGAGAGGAAGGUCCCCCACAUUGGAACUGAGACACGGUCCAAACUCCUACGGGGAGGCAGCAUG